AGUCGUGCGAGAAGGAGACUUCGGUCUCUGAGUAGAGCGGCGCACGGGUGAGUAACACGUGGAUGAUCUACCCUUGAGUUCGGGAUAACGGUGCGAAAGCGCCGCUAAUACCGUAUAACAAUCCAUUUCAUCGUGGGUUCAAAGCAGGCCUCUUCAUGAAAGCUUGCGCUUGGGGAUGAGUCCGCGUCCCAUUAGCUUGUUGGCGGGGUAACGGCCCACCAAGGCUACGAUGGGUAGCUGGUCUGAGAGGAUGAUCAGCCACACUGGAACUGAAACACGGUCCAGACUCCUACGGGAGGCAGCAGUGGGGAAUAUUGCGCAAUGGGGGAAACCCUGACGCAGCGACGUCGUGUGAGGGAAGAAGGCCUUCGGGUCGUAAACCUCUGUCAGAAGGGAAGAACAUCCGGGAGUCGAACAGCCUCCCGGCCUGACGGUACCUUCAGAGGAAGCGCCGGCUAACUCCGUGCCAGCAGCCGCGGUAAUACGGAGGGCGCAAGCGUUAAUCGGAAUCACUGGGCGUAAAGCGUGCGUAGGCUGUUUGAUAAGUCAGACGUGAAAUCCCUCGGCUCAACCGGGGAACUGCGUUUGAUACUGUUGAACUAGAGUCCUGGAGAGGGUGGCGGAAUUCCUGGUGUAGGAGUGAAAUCCGUAGAUAUCAGGAGGAACACCGGUGGCGAAGGCGGCCACCUGGACAGGUACUGACGCUG
rnacentral:rRNA from 1 species